GUGUCAGCAGCCGCGGUAAGACGGAGGGGGCUAGCGUUGUUCGGAAUUACUGGGCGUAAAGCGCGCGUAGGCGGAUGUGCAAGUUGGAGGUGAAAGCCCGGGGCUCAACCUCGGAAUUGCCUUCAAAACUGCACAUCUAGAGGCCGGGAGAGGGUAGCGGAAUUCCCAGUGUAGAGGUGAAAUUCGUAGAUAUUGGGAAGAACACCGGUGGCGAAGGCGGCUACCUGGACCGGUCCUGACGCUGAGGUGCGAAAGCGUGGGGAGCAAACAGGAUUAGAUACCCGGGUAGUCCCAGCCGUAAACGAUGUAGGCUCGGUGAUGGACUGGCUCCGAGCCAGUCCAGCGCCGCAGGGAAGCCGUUAAGCCUACCGCCUGGGGAGUACGGCCGCAAGGCUGAAACUUAAAUGAAUUGACGGGG
rnacentral:rRNA from 1 species